CCCUUAGAUGUUCGGGGCCGCACGCGUGCUACACUGAACGGUUCAAUGGGUAAGGUAGUGCGAAAGCAUGACCUAAUCUCGAAAUCCGUUCGUGCUGGGGAUAGAAGCUUGCAAUUAUCCUUCUUGAACGAGGAAUACCUUGUAAGCGUGAGUCAUCAUCUCACGCUGAAUACGUCCCUGCCCUUUGUACACACCGCCCGUCGCUCCUACCGAUUGAGUGUUCCGGUGAGGCUUUGGGAGAAUGGCCUCAACAUGAGUUUAUCGUGUUUUGCCGUUUGAACUUAGUCAAACCUUAUCACUUAGAGGAAGGAGAAGUCGUAACA
rnacentral:rRNA from 1 species